GGGAAGCGAAAGCGGACGACCCUUCCGGGGAGCCUCUACAGGUGUUGCAUGGCUGUCGUCAGCUCGUGUCGUGAGAUGUUCGGUUAAGUCCGCUAACGAGCGCAACCCUCGCUGUGUGUUACAAGUGUCACACGGUACUGCCGGUAUUAAGUCGGAGGAAGGUGGGGAUGACGUCAAGUCAGCAUGACCUUUAUAUCCAGGGCUACACACACGCUACAAUGGUCAGUACAAUAGGUUGCCAAGCCGCGAGGCGGAGCCAAUCCUAAAAAGCUGGCCUCAGUUCAGAUUGCAGUCUGCAACUCGACUGCAUGAAGUUGGAGUUGCUAGUAAUUGCAGAUCAGCAUGCUGCAGUGAAUACGUUCCCGGGCCUU
rnacentral:rRNA from 1 species